GACGAACGCUGGCGGCGUGCUUAACACAUGCAAGUCGAACGGAAAGGCCUCUUUCGGGGGGUACUCGAGUGGCGAACGGGUUAGUAACACGUGAGUAACCUGCCCUUGACUUUGGGAUAACUUCAGGAAACUGGGGCUAAUACCGGAUAGGAGCUCCUGCUGCAUGGUGGGGGUUGGAAAGUUUCGGCGGUUGGGGAUGGACUCGCGGCUUAUCAGCUUGUUGGUGGGGUAGUGGCUUACCAAGGCUUUGACGGGUAGCCGGCCUGAGAGGGUGACCGGCCACAUUGGGACUGAGAUACGGCCCAGACUCCUACGGGAGGCAGCAGUGGGGAAUAUUGCACAAUGGGUGGAAGCCUGAUGCAGCAACGCCGUGUGCGGGAUGACGGCCUUCGGGUUGUAAACCGCUUUCGCUCAUGACGAAGCUUUGUGUGACGGUAGUGGGUAAAGAAGCACCGGCUAACUACGUG
rnacentral:rRNA from 1 species